GACGGAAGGUGCAAGCGUUGCUCGGAAUCACUGGGCGUCAAGGGUGCGUAGGCGGCUUGGUAAGUUGGGUGUGAAAGCCCCGGGCUCAGCCCGGGAAGGGCACUCGAAACUGCCGAGCUGGAGUGCCGGAGGGGAGAGUGGAAUUCCUGGUGUAGCGGUGAAAUGCGUAGAUAUCAGGAGGAAUACCGGUGGCGAAAGCGACUCUCUGGACGGCAACUGACGCUGAGGCACGAAAGCGUGGGGAGCAAACAGG
rnacentral:rRNA from 1 species